rnacentral:rRNA from 1 species
AUUGAACGCUGGCGGCAUGCCUAACACAUGCAAGUCGAACGGCAGCACGGCAGUAGCAAUACUGUGGGUGGCGAGUGGCGGACGGGUGAGGAAUACGUCGGAAUCUGCCCAGUCGUGGGGGAUAACUAGCCGAAAGGUUAGCUAAUACCGCAUACGACCGAGAGGUGAAAGCGGGGGACCGCAAGGCCUCGCGCGAUUGGAUGAGCCGACGUCGGAUUAGCUAGUUGGUGGGGUAAAGGCCCACCAAGGCGACGAUCCGUAGCUGGUCUGAGAGGAUGAUCAGCCACACUGGAACUGAGACACGGUCCAGACUCCUACGGGAGGCAGCAGUGGGGAAUAUUGGACAAUGGGCGCAAGCCUGAUCCAGCAAUGCCGCGUGUGUGAAGAAGGCCUUCGGGUUGUAAAGCACUUUUAUCAGGAACGAAAAGCGUUGGAUUAAUACUCUGACGUGCUGACGGUACCUGAGGAAUAAGCACCGGCUAACUUCGUGCCAGCCGCCGCAGUAACAC